rnacentral:lncRNA from 10 species
AAUGAGGUGUUUUGGUAUGUUUUUACUAUAUGGAAUGACCAAGCUAAUUAACAAAUCCAACUCACAUACUUUUUUAAUUGUAAAAAUAUUUAAAAUCUACCUUUAGUAAUUCUGAAAUAUAUAAUGCAUUAUUAUUUAUUACAGUCACAGUAGCGAAGAUAUGGAGGCAACCUAGGUGUCCAUCAUCAGAUGAAUGGAUAAAGACAAUCUAAUAAAAUAUACACAAUGGAAUACCAUUCUGCCUUAAAAAGAAGGAAAUCCUGUCAUUUGCGACAACAUAGGCAAGAUAUUACACUAAGUGAAAAAAUGGAAGAUACUACGCUAAGUGAAAAAAGUCAGGCACAGAAAGACACAUGAUUUUACUUGUAUGUGGAAUCUAAAAAAGUCAAACUCAUAGAAGUAGAGUAGAAUGAGGGUUACCAGAAGUUAGAGGAGGUACAUAAAUGGGGAAAAGAGAGAUAGCGAUCAAAGGAUACAAAAUUUCAGCUAGACCAGAAGAAUAAGCUUUAGUGAUCUGUUACAUAGAACAGGGACAUUUUUCAUUCUUCUUUGCAUUCCUAGCAUCCAGCACAGUGUGAGUUACAUAGUAUGCAGACAUUUAAUAAAUGCUACCAUAUUCUGGAGAACUAAAAGAGAAAGAAAAAAUACCAUCUUGUUCUUCUUUGCUAUUUUCUUUCCUUUUCCUUCGCAUACCUUCCCUACUUAUGAUUAUUACAUAUAACAUCAGGGGCAGAAAGUGACACUGUUCCUAAAGCCAUCUGUUUUGAGUUUAUACAAAGUGUAACCUCUACUUAGAUUCAUAAGUUUUUAAACAAUUUAACUGGUUAGAAGAAACAAACUAUGAAGCCCAGGUGAUUUGGAGAAAAAAAUACUUUUUGCUCAUUAGCAUCAGAGUCUCAGAUUCAGGGGUGUUAACUAGCCUCUUUUGUCAAACAAAACAAAAUCUUGUGAAUGGUCUUAAUCAAUAGUUUUCCAACGUUUCUGACUGCAAACCACUAUCCUGGAUCCCAGAAAACACCUACAUAUAUGUUAUGAAAAUAAAAAAUUAAUUAUUAUCCUUGUUAUUCUGGGAUAUAUUUUCAUUUUCUAUUCUAUUAAAAACCAAUCAUAAUACUAGUCAUAAGCCACAAAAUUGACUUCACGAUCCAACUUUGCGUUGUAACCACUAAUACAAAAUACUUUGGUAUUAUACACAAACCUAUAGAUUCAGCUGAGCAAACCCAAACAGGAUAGAAAUCCAAGUUAAGAUACACCAGAAUCGCUCCCCUCUCCCUCUCCCUCUCCCUCUCCCCACGGUUUCCCUCUCUUUCCACGGUCUCCCUCUCAUGCGGAGCCGAAGCUGGACUGUACUGCUGCCAUCUCGGCUCACUGCAACCUCCCUGCCUGAUUCUCCUGCCUCAGCCUGCCGAGUGCCUGCGAUUGCAGGCACGCGCCACCACGCCUGACUGGUUUUGGUGGAGACGGGGUUUCGCUGUGUUGGCCGGGCCGGUCUCCAGCCCUUAACCGCGAGUGAUCCGCCAGCCUCAGCCUCCCGAGGUGCCAGGAUUGCAGACGGAGUCUCGUUCACUCAGUGCUCAAUAGUGCCCAGGCUGGAGUGCAGUGGCGUGAUCUCGGCUCGCUACAACCUACACCUCCCAGCCGCCUGCCUUGGCCUCCCAAAGUGCCGAGAUUGGAGCCUCUGCCCGGCCACCACCCCAUCUGGGAAGUGAGGAGUGUCUCUGCCUGGCCGCCCAUCGUCUGGGAUGUGAGGAGCCCCUCUGCCUGGCUGCCCAGUCUGGAAAGUGAGGAGCGCCUCUUCCCGGCCACCAUCACAUCUAGGAAGUGAGGAGCGUCUCUGCCCGGCCGCCCAUCGUCUGAGAUGUGGGGAGCGCCUCUGCCCCGCCGCCCAAUCUGGGAUGUGAGGAGCGCCUCUGCCCGGCCGCGACCCCGUCUGGGAGGUGAGGAGCGUCUCUGCCCGGCUGCCCCAUCUGAGAAGUGAAGAGACCCUGUGCCUGGCAACCACCCCGUCUGAGAAGUGAGGAGCCCCUCCGCCUGGCA